rfam:Acyrthosiphon pisum strain LSR1 Contig831, whole genome shotgun sequence.
AAAUCGAUCGUCUGAGCUGGGUAUAGGGGCGAAAGACUAAUCGAACCAUCUAGUAGCUGGUUCCAUCCGAAGUUUCCCUCAGGAUAGCUGGCGCCGAUGUGUCCCGCCCGUUCGCGGGCGUACGGACGCCGGUGGGACUCCGCGCUGUACGGCGCGGUAACAACACGCUCGUAACACGGAGGAUGUCUCAUACGGUAAAGCGAAUGAUUAGAGGACAUUGGGGCCGAAACGACCUCAACCUAUUCUCAAACUAUAAAUGAGUGAGAUCGCCGGCUUUACCUGGUACACCGCGUGAACCGCGUGCGAAGCCGGCGACGGAACCCUAGGCGCUUAGUGGGCCAUUUUUGGUAAGCAGAACUGGCGCUGCGGGAUGAACCGAACGCCGAGUUAAGGCGCCGAAAUCGACGCGUAUUCAGAGACCAUGAAAGGCGUUGGUUGCUGAUGACAGCAGGACGGUGGCCAUGGAAGUCGGAAUCCGCUAAGGAGUGUGUAACAACUCACCUGCCGAAGCAACUAGCUCUGAAAAUGGAUGGCGCUGGAGCGUCGUGCCUAUACUCGGCCGUCGACGGCAUAGUGGGGCCAGUCGUCGCUCGCGGCGGCCGGUCCCGGCAAGCCUCGACGAGUAGGAUGGCGCGGCGGUGUGCGUCGAAGGGCAGGUCGCGAGACCGCCUGGAGCCGCCGUCGGUGCAGAUCUUGGUGGUAGUAGCAAAUACUCGAGAGGGGCCCUCGGGGGCUGCCGUGGAGAAGGGUUUCUUGUGAACAGCCGUUGUCCAAGAGUCAGUCGAUCCUAAGCCCGGGGAGAGAUCCUCGUACCACGGGCGAAGGCGUUUUCGAAUCGCCCUUGGGGCGAGAGGGAAUCCGGUUCGUAUAUCCGGAACCCGACGCGGAACCGCUCCCUAGUGUUCGGGGCUCUUUUGUCUCGUCUGGGUAACCAGAAUGAACUCGAAGAAGCCGCCGGGGGAUCUGGGUAGAGUUCUCUUUUCUCUGUGAGCGUUGUACGUCCCUGGAAUCCUCUAGCCGGGCGAUAGGGACGCGAGCGCGAAGAGCACCGCUCGUUGCGGCGGUGUCCGUGAUCCCCACGCGGACCUUGAAAAUUCGAGAGAGGGCCACGCGGAGUCUUCGCGUCGGUUCGUACCGAUAUCCGCAGCAGGUCUCCGAGGUGAGCAGCCUCUAGCCGCAUAGAAUAAUGUAGGUAAGGGAAGUCGGCAAAACCGAUCCGUAACUUCGGGAUAAGGAUUGGCUCUGAGGAGCGUGGCUGCCGGGUUCGGGUCGUCGUAGAAGCGUAGGCGUUUUUGGCGACACCCCGGCCGUCGCCCGUGCGCCCGGUCUUCGGAACGGGAGCCUCGAGGCGGCCGCGGGCCCGUCGCCGUCCGCCGACCGUGGAACCACCGAGCUUCGGUCGCUGGCCGCGUCGCGGCCGGCCGACCGCCUUGGUGUCGGUUCGCCGUCACCGGGCGGUCCGGCCGCCGCGCCGUCGGUCGCGUAGCCGGAUCGACAGCCAUGUAACGGUCAACUCAGAACUGGCACGGACCAGGGGAAUCCGACUGUCUAAUUAAAACAAAGCAUCGCGAUGGCCCGGGACGGGUGUUGACGCGAUGUGAUUUCUGCCCAGUGCUCUGAAUGUCAACGUGAAGAAAUU